rnacentral:rRNA from 1 species
GAUGAACGCUGGCGGCGUGCCUAACACAUGCAAGUCGAACGGAGUUAUAUCUAAGAGAUCUUCGGAUGGAUUGGAUAUAACUUAGUGGCGGACGGGUGAGUAACGCGUGGGUAACCUGCCUCAUACAGGGGGAUAACAGCUGGAAACGGCUGCUAACACCGCAUAAUAUAUAGAAGCCGCAUGACUUUUAUAUUAAAUAUUCAUAGGUAUGAGAUGGGCCCGCGUCUGAUUAGCUGGUUGGUGAGGUAACGGCCCACCAAGGCAACGAUCAGUAGCCGGCUUGAGAGAGUGACCGGCCACAUUGGGACUGAGACACGGCCCAAACUCCUACGGGAGGCAGCAGUGGGGAAUAUUGCACAAUGGGGGAAACCCUGAUGCAGCGACGCCGCGUGAGUGAAGAAGUAUUUCGGUAUGUAAAGCUCUAUCAGCAGGGAAGAAAAUGACGGUACCUGACUAAGAAGCCCCGGCUAACUACGUG